rnacentral:rRNA from 1 species
GACGAACGCUGGCGGCGUGCUUAACACAUGCAAGUCGAACGGAAAGGCCCUGCUUUUGUGGGGUGCUCGAGUGGCGAACGGGUGAGUAACACGUGAGUAACCUGCCCUUGACUUUGGGAUAACUUCAGGAAACUGGGGCUAAUACCGGAUAGGAGCUCCUGCUGCAUGGUGGGGGUUGGAAAGUUUCGGCGGUUGGGGCUGGACUCGCGGCUUAUCAGCUUGUUGGUGGGGUAGUGGCUUACCAAGGCUUUGACGGGUAGCCGACCUGAGAGGGUGACCGGCCACAUUGGGACUGAGAUACGGCCCAGACUCCUACGGGAGGCAGCAGUGGGGAAUAUUGCACAGUGGGCGGAAGCCUGAUGCAGCAACGCCGCGUGCGGGAUGACGGCCUUCGGGUUGUAAACCGCUUUCGCCUGUGACGAGGCGUGAGUGACGGUAAUGGGUAAAGAAGCACCGGCUAACUACGUG